AGUCGACGGAAUGAUUGAAGUUUACUUUGGUCAUUUUAGUGGCGGACGGGUGAGUAACACGUGAGCAACCUGCCUUUCAGAGGGGGAUAACGUUUGGAAACGAACGCUAAUACCGCAUAACGUAUACGGAUGGCAUCGUCUGUAUACCAAAGGAGGAAUCCGCUGAAAGAUGGGCUCGCGUCCGAUUAGCUAGAUGGUGAGGUAACGGCCCACCAUGGCGACGAUCGGUAGCCGGACUGAGAGGUUGACCGGCCACAUUGGGACUGAGACACGGCCCAGACUCCUACGGGAGGCAGCAGUGAGGGAUAUUGGGCAAUGGGGGCAACCCUGACCCAGCGACGCCGCGUGAGGGAAGACGGUCUUCGGAUUGUAAACCUCUGUCUUUGGGGACGAAGAAGGACGGUACCCAAGGAGGAAGCUCCGGCUAACUACGUGCCAGCAGCCGCGGUAAUACGUAGGGAGCGAGCGUUGUCCGGAAUUACUGGGUGUAAAGGGAGCGUAGCGGGAAGGCAAGUUGGAUGUGAAAACUGUGGGCUCAACCUACAGACUGCAUUCAAAACUGUUUUUCUUGAGUGAAGUAGAGGCAAGCGGAAUUCCUAGUGUAGCGGUGAAAUGCGUAGAUAUUAGGAGGAACACCAGUGGCGAAGCGGCUUGCUGGGCUUUUACUGACGCUGAGCUCGAAAGUGUGGGG
rnacentral:rRNA from 1 species